GAUGAACGCUAGCGGGAGGCCUAACACAUGCAAGCUGAGCGGUAGAGUUUCCUCGGAGACUUGAGAGCGGCGUACGGGUGCGGAACACGUGUGCAACCUGCCUUUAUCAGGGGGAUAGCCUUUCGAAAGGAAGAUUAAUACCCCAUAAUAUAUAAAGUGGCAUCACUUUAUAUUGAAAACUGAGGUGGAUAAAGAUGGGCACGCGCAAGAUUAGAUAGUUGGUGAGGUAACGGCUCACCAAGUCGAUGAUCUUUAGGGGGCCUGAGAGGGUGAUCCCCCACACUGGUACUGAGACACGGACCAGACUCCUACGGGAGGCAGCAGUGAGGAAUAUUGGACAAUGGGUUAGCGCCUGAUCCAGCCAUCCCGCGUGAAGGACGACGGCCCUAUGGGUUGUAAACUUCUUUUGUACAGGGAUAAACCUAUUUACGUGUAAAUAGCUGAAGGUACUGUACGAAUAAGCACCGGCUAACUCCGUGCCAGCCGCCGCCGUAA
rnacentral:rRNA from 1 species